rnacentral:misc_RNA from 1 species
UCCGAGUUGACCCCGGCAGUCUCCUACGAGUCCCCACCAUAACGUGCUGGCAACAUAGGACGAGGGUUGCGCUCGUUGCGGGACUUAACCCAACAUCUCACGACACGAGCUGACGACAGCCAUGCACCACCUGUGCACGGCCCUUACGGACCCGACAUCUCUGCCGGAUUUCCGUGCAUGUCAAGCCCAGGUAAGGUUCUUCGCGUUGCAUCGAAUUAAUCCGCAUGCUCCGCCGCUUGUGCGGGCCCCCGUCAAUUCCUUUGAGUUUCACCCUUGCGGGCGUACUCCCCAGGUGGAUGACUUAACGCUUUCGCUUGGACGCUAAGAGUAUAUCCCUAACAUCGAGUCAUCAUCGUUUACGGCCAGGACUAC